ensembl:lncRNA
GAAAAGUCUAGUAAAAUAGAUAAAAUAUCUGACUCACGCAAUGAACAAGAUGGAAGGGUAGUGCCCUCAUACUAGUUUCCAUCAUUAAUUAAUAGGCAAAGUUAGAAUGAAUAAAUUUGUUUCAUGAACGGGACUGAGGCAAAUCAAAGAAAACUAAUAAAUGAAAUUCCAAUAUGUAUUAAUUUUGUAGCAUUUUCGGAUGUUGACGCACAGGACGCGAUAACCCGCAUCUAAUAGUGGCUUUAAGCUUGCUACAUAGAACUGGAUCACGGCAGGAAGUGAUUUACUUUGUUCGCUAAAAUAAAAACUCUGCCACCCCAGAGUAUAAGUGGUUUGAAAAGCCAAACCGGAAAUGGAGGCUCUCAUUGCCGCUACCUUGCUACCGGCCGCGCUGCCAAUAACCUUACAGUACUCGAGAGAGAGCUCCGUUAGUGGAUGCUUUACAGACAGAGAGGAGCAGCGGGGACUUGAAGAGAAGCACUUUACGGAAUUUUCUGAGAUUUCCAGGCUAAUAUUCCCCGGGCGACCUCACACGGCGGAAACAACUGAUCCAUGAACAUGAGAAACCCACUGUACUGGGCUGCGCUGGCUGUGAUGACGGUCCUGCUGAUGGAGCAAGGAGCUGCACAUCUUGAGGGCCCGGAGACGAAGGGACCCCCCAAAAAACCCACAGCUCCAGACCAGCCACCGCCCACCCCCCUUCUGCCUCCCGGUUCCUGUUCUGAAAGUACCAAGUCCCAAGAAGUGGACCCACUUCAGAGCUCUCGCCUUAACCUCUCAUCUGAUGAAGGCUAUGGAGAGGAUCGUCCUUAGUCACCUCUACACACAGGUGACAGCACUGGAUCCACUGCAAUUCGCAUAUCGACCUAGCAUCAGGGUAGAUGACACCCGCAUCGGGCCCUGUCUCACCUGGAGUCCCCUGGGAGCACUGUGAGAGUCAUGCUUUUUUGAUUUCUCCAGUGCUUUUAACACCAUCAAGCCAUCACUGCUGAGGAGGAAGCUGAAGGUGGCAGGUGUUGACCAACAUUUGGCUGCUUGGCCCAUCAACUACCUCACAGACAGGCCCCAAUUUGUGAGGCUGCGCGACUAUUUGUCGGAUGUGCCAGGAACACUAUAACCAAAGUUCAGUUAUUUAUGGAAGAAUUUCAUUUUAACAAGCAAAAUUCAGAGAAAUGGGAGAGUAAAUGAAAGCAUUGUCUAGUGCAAGAAAAUGUCAGAAGUUGUAUAGCUCUACCAUAUCCAAGCUUUGUGUUGUAUCUUUUCUUUAGACUAUCUGCAUAUCAAACAUCUGCACACUACGGCUGUAGCACGCUAUGCAUUUUCCAUGAAAAUAUUCCUGCCUCAUACAUUCAGUUGCCUCAGAAUCAGUUUAAACAAUCAAGGAAUUGCCAAAAUGCUGCUGCGGCUGUGCGUGCUGCCAUUCCUGAAGCAAGUUAAGCAAGUUGCAAUACAAUUUGUACAAUAUAAAAAACAAUACAAUGAUACAGGAGUAGGCACAGUACAAGUGGAAACUCGCUGGAAUUCUUUCAUGGACACAUCAGGCUGGGGGGGAAUGGGGGAUAGAUAAAGGUCAGAGAGCAGACGGUGAGCCGUCUUGGAGGGGAGGGGGUGUUUCUGCAUCAGUAUAGUGAAUGUUUGACCGAAGCGUCAACCAAGAUGUUUACAGAUCAGUCCAACAGUUGUCCUUGAAGGGAUUCACAAUAAGGGAAAGAAGAUAGAGGCACAGCUGGUAAGCUAGAUUGGACCCGGGAAGGGGAGAGGGACAGAAUUAAUACAGCCAAUGUAAUGCAUUUGGAUCUAUGAUGUCUUUGUAAGGACCCAGGGCUCCAUCGCCUCCUUCGGGUCCAUGGAGCACCCGCGACAUCUCCUCAAGCCUGACAGACAAGGCUGACACCAAUCUCACCAAUUGAUCAGUAUGUCUGUAGAUGUUUCCCACCUGUCUUUUUUCCUCACCCAGAUGGGCUGAGAUGAGAUGUCCAUCGAGCCGGGCCACUCUAAUGAUUUUCCAAUCUUACAAUAAAGCAGGGCACCACCUAAGCCA